AUGAACGCUAGCUACAGGCUUAACACAUGCAAGUCGAGGGGCAGCAUUUCAGUUUGCUUGCAAACUGGAGAUGGCGACCGGCGCACGGGUGAGUAACACGUAUCCAACCUGCCGAUAACUCGGGGAUAGCCUUUCGAAAGAAAGAUUAAUACCCGAUGGUAUAAUCAGACCGCAUGGUCUUGUUAUUAAAGAAUUUCGGUUAUCGAUGGGGAUGCGUUCCAUUAGGCAGUUGGUGAGGUAACGGCUCACCAAACCUUCGAUGGAUAGGGGUUCUGAGAGGAAGGUCCCCCACAUUGGAACUGAGACACGGUCCAAACUCCUACGGGAGGCAGCAGUGAGGAAUAUUGGUCAAUGGGCGCAGGCCUGAACCAGCCAAGUAGCGUGAAGGAUGACUGCCCUAUGGGUUGUAAACUUCUUUUAUAUGGGAAUAAAGUUUUCCACGUGUGGAAUUUUGUAUGUACCAUAUGAAUAAGGAUCGGCUAACUCCGUGCCAGCAGCCGCGGUAAUACGGAGGAUCCGAGCGUUAUCCGGAUUUAUUGGGUUUAAAGGGAGCGUAGGUGGACAGUUAAGUCAGUUGUGAAAGUUUGCGGCUCAACCGUAAAAUUGCAGUUGAUACUGGCUGUCUUGAGUACAGUAGAGGUGGGCGGAAUUCGUGGUGUAGCGGUGAAAUGCUUAGAUAUCACGAAGAACUCCGAUUGCGAAGGCAGCUCACUGGACUGCAACUGACACUGAUGCUCGAAAGUGUGGGUAUCAAACAGGAUUAGAUACCCUGGUAGUCCACACAGUAAACGAUGAAUACUCGCUGUUUGCGAUAUACAGUAAGCGGCCAAGCGAAAGCAUUAAGUAUUCCACCUGGGGAGUACGCCGGCAACGGUGAAACUCAAAGGAAUUGACGGGGGCCCGCACAAGCGGAGGAACAUGUGGUUUAAUUCGAUGAUACGCGAGGAACCUUACCCGGGCUUAAAUUGCAUUUGAAUAUAUUGGAAACAGUAUAGCCGUAAGGCAAAUGUGAAGGUGCUGCAUGGUUGUCGUCAGCUCGUGCCGUGAGGUGUCUACUUAAGUGCCCUAACGCGCGCAACCCUUAUCUUUAGUUACUAACAGGUCAUGCUGAGGACUCUAGAGAGACUGCCGUCGUAAGAUGUGAGGAAGGUGGGGAUGACGUCAAAUCAGCACGGCCCUUACGUCCGGGGCUACACACGUGUUACAAUGGGGGGUACAGAAGGCAGCUACCUGGUGACAGGAUGCUAAUCCCAAAAGCCUCUCUCAGUUCGGAUCGAAGUCUGCAACCCGACUUCGUGAAGCUGGAUUCGCUAGUAAUCGCGCAUCAGCCAUGGCGCGGUGAAUACGUUCCCGGGCCUUGUACACACCGCCCGUCAAGCCAUGAAAGCCGGGGGUACCUGAAGUACGUAACCGCAAGGAGCGUCCUAGGGUAAAACUGGUAAUUGGGGCU
rnacentral:rRNA from 1 species